rnacentral:tRNA from 1 species
GGGGUGGUGGCGCAGUUGGCUAGCGCGUAGGUCUCAUAAUCCUGAGGUCGAGAGUUCGAGCCUCUCUCAUCCCA